UAUGACUAUCAGGAAUGAGUUCUCUCUCUCAGGACUGGGUUGGUUACCUCAAGAGUAGGUUGUUAUGAAGUAGGUCUGCCCCUUUUGGACACGCCCACUUCCUACCAGGAUUAAAGCAGCACAAGGCUCUCAUUGGCACCAUGCUCUUGGAAUUCCCACCAUCCAGAACCAUGAGCUAAAUAAUCUCCUUUCCUACCUUAACUACUUAGCCUUGGGCAUUCUGUGGUCGCCUCAGAAAACAAAGACACUGGCCGCAAAGGCUGCUGAACAGUGUGGCAGACAGACUGCUCUUCUGACCUCACAGCUACAAUGAGAUUUGCUGCGUGAGGAGGAUGCCAAGGAAGGAUCGGGCCAAGACAAGGGAGCUAUAAUAAAAAGCAUAGCCACUAACGGCUGCCAAGGCCAAUGUCUUGAGUAGUGUCUUCAAUGAAAGGCUGGCAGGAGACCAGAACCUGCAGCUGCUAACACCUCCGGUCUUGGAGAGCAUAUGGCUCCUACUACAGCAACCAGAGAAACCCACCACAGACACCUGCCCCGGCUUUGAAGUAGACCUCACAGUUCUGUACGGCUCUUUUGUGACCGAUCAUACAAGGGAGAAAGGAAGAGGAGAAUGAUGAUUGCUUCUUCGUGUUUGCAUGUAUGAGCUUUGUAAAAGGGCUCGUUCCUUUAGGCAAGAACGAAAACAGUUUGUAUGCACUU